CCCCUUCUCCAUCAUCGUUUCGCUUCGCCCCAGCAACGAACGACAAGAUCGUCCAGCUCGAGUUCCGCAGCCCUGGCUCGCAGCUGCUCAUGGAUCUGACGCCGUUGUCGUCUGGGACUGGGAGCAUCAGCUGCUCCUGCUCGGGAAAUCGGGAAACCUCACAUUCGGGGAUUCUAGCUCCUGUAUGAGCUCAAUGCUGGGGCGUGGAUGCCAAGUGCCUCGUUGUGGAGAUCCGGGGAAAAUAUUUCUGGAUGCGUCUCUUUGAUCCACUCUGUUAGAUAUGAAAUUCGUGGAGAAAGUGUGAAGCACAUCAGAUUUGACGAUGACGGAAUGGGUGGAUCAGUUGGACAGCUGCAGCGGACGCUCAUUCCUCUCCAGCUCAGUUCUCUCCAUCCCGUUCUCUCGGGUAGCUCUGGCUCCACUCGAGGCCGACACUUCCUCGUUGUCUGCUGCGAGAACAAAGACAUCUUCUUCGAUCUCAGCACAGUGCGUGCUCGGCAAACAAAUCCUGGAAAACAAAGCGAUGUGUGGAGUUUCUUCUACGCUUCGCUUGUGGAGUUGGUACGGCUUUUAUGACGUCUAGCGGGGCGACGCUUUUGGUGUCCGGGGCUAUGAAUGGAAUUGCUCUUUCCUGAUUUGCCUCUGCAGGCUCACGAUGGUGGUGUGCACGGUAUGGAAAUGGCCAAAGUACCAAGGGGACCUCCUCAACUUGUAACCAAGAUGGCAUUGGCCAUCUGACUUCUUUCAGGGUGUGUGUUCGUUGAUGCGGGGGUACGCGCCAUUGAUGUUGAAAGAAGGAAGAGAUGAAAAACCGUGCAGCUCAGGGAGCCUCCAUGGCAGAUUGCUUUGUUGACAGUGGACACUUCGACCACCUCUGUUACAGGUUGUCCGGCUCGCUCCAUUCCACGCUGCACCUUCAAGUUCACGGCCUCCGCCCGACCAAACGGAUGUGGAUGUGGAAGACAAGAAGGUUGCAGGCGUGGCGUUGCGAUGGGGGAGGCGGCGUUGCUGUAGCAGUAUCCAGAUCACCUAUGGAGCACAAGCGUCCUGGAGUCUGAGACGGCGUCCUUUGGAUUGUUGACAGGUUCAUGGUUUAUCCACCGAUGUCUUGCUGCUCACGGAGACGUUAGCGCUGUGAAAUGGGCUUUCAGGCUUGGACGAGAGCACCAUGAUUGGACGACCUUGCUCAGUUUAUGCUAGGCAUGGGCUGUGCUACUGAAGCUUUACAUCUGCCUGGCAUUCCGAAGGCUGGAGUAUGACCUCGCAAGCAAUGCCUCGUCAUGCUAAGCCAAGAAGCUGAUGCAGUUUGACAACCAAGGAGAAAACAAGCGACGCUCUGUGAAGUUGUCCGAUGAGCUGGUAGAUGCCAAGUGCUAAAAAAGCUGGCAGUGGCUGGUCCUGUCGAAGGGGAAUCGAAUGAGAAUACUCGAGCGCUCAUCCAGAUACAACAGGAGGCCCAGAAACGUUGGUAGUGUUCGUCAACAAGUAAGUUACAGAGGUGGCUUCAAGCGACAAAGCAAGUUCAGGCAAGUUUAUGAAAUGACAAUGGAGAAGUUGGGCGACGCAUCUCUUCUCUUUUCUUCAGCUCAACACAACGAUCAAGCGCAAGAUCGACCAAUCUAGAAUCUCCAAAAUCCGCGAAUGGGUUCUUCCAAGGACGAAGCGCCGGCCUGGAGCAUUGAGAAUGCGGGGGAUGGUGGGCGACAUCGACCAAAACGCUAUGUAUUUUCCAAAGAUAUCCUGCCAUACGGUUUAAGUAGAUGGUAUUGUUAUUUUAUUAUCGGAGCCCGGUUGCUGAGAUGAUGGCUAUGAGGUAAGUGUAGAGGUAAACCGUUGUAGAAGACCCGGGUUCGAUGCCGAAGAGUCCAAUCAACAAGGACUUUA